CCUUGCCCACCUUCUGCACACCAAGCGUGGAUUCUGCAAAACGUGAGCCCAACAGGAAGCUGCCUGCAAUUUCAGGUAGCUUUUCUGACUCUUAAAGAGAUCUCAAGUAUACCUUCAGAGAAAUGCCAGCAAAAACUGUAGUCAUUUGGGAAGGAAUAAGCCUGGAAGAAAAAGAUACAACGAACUAGCACAACGAGGAGUUUGAAAAGUUCAUGACAGCUCACAGCUGAUGAUGGUGGCAAUCUUAAGGAUACAGAAAGCUCAUUCCUCAUGCAGGGAAGAAGAAAAUAUUCUAAAGAAGAGAUAAGCAUAUUCCAUGAAAUCAAAAAAGGUAGGAAAACAAUAUUUAUUCAUUAACUCCUUCACUCACUCAACGAACAUAUAUUUAGUGCCUACUAUGUGUUAGGCAUGGUACCAGAAUCUGGAAUCCAAAAUUUAAAAAGUCUCUGUCCUGAAGAGUUUACAAGACAGGGCAGUAAGUAAGUGAUCAAAAUACCGUAUGAUAGCAAUUAGUACAAGGCAUGGAGCUGAGCCUGGAUAGUAAAGCAGAGGCCAUGUGAAUGAGUUUUGUCUUUAUUCUGAUACAAAUGUGAAUCCAUUGAAAGAUUUAAACAAAGAGAAUGCCAUCUAACUAGUUUCAUUCUUAAAAGAUCAUACUUGUUGUAUAGUGAGAACAAAUUGAAUGGUGAAUCAGAGCUGAGAUUUUGUUAUUUUUAUAACUACAAAAUCUUGUAUAGUUUUCUACACCUAUAAAGUACAAUGAGUUCACACCCUCUUAAAUCUAUGUAGCUGUGUGUCCCUCCAUGCUAUUAUUCAUCUAGCAGUCUGCCUUCUGCUCCCACUCAUUUCCCUACAAUGAGUAACAGAACUGCAAGUAGACAAAGAAGGAUGGAGAAUGAACUUGGCUUCUCUCUUUCAAAUGGAAGCUAGCAGAAAAGCUCAGGAACUCACACCUUGAGGAGAGGGUAAUAUGCAGUGGUUAAUAACAUAGGAUAUUGAUUUAAAAACCAGUGUUGUCCAUUGCUCAUUCUAUGACCUUAGGCAAACUUGUCAAUAUUUCUGCUCUUAAUAUCUUUACUUUAUGAUGGUAAUAAAGUUAUUUCUAUCUUUUAUUUGUCAGACUCAGCUAAC
rnacentral:lncRNA from 1 species